AGCGAACGCUGGCGGCAGGCUUAACACAUGCAAGUCGAACGCCCCGCAAGGGGAGUGGCAGACGGGUGAGUAACACGUGGGAAUGUACCCUUUGGUUCGGAAUAACUUGGGGAAACUCAAGCUAAUACCGGAUAAGCUCUUAUGGGGAAAGGUUUACCGCCGAAGGAUCGGCCCGCGUCUGAUUAGCUAGUUGGGGAGGUAAUGGCUCACCAAGGCGACGAUCAUUAGCUGGUCUGAGAGGAUGAUCAGCCACACUGGGACUGAGGCACGGCCCAGACUCCUACGGGAGGCAGCAGUGGGGAAUAUUGGACAAUGGGGGCAACCCUGAUCCAGCCAUGCCGCGUGAGUGAUGAAGGCCUUAGGGUUGUAAAGCUCUUUUACCCGGGACGAUAAUGACUGUACCGGGAGAAUAAGCCCCGGCUAACUUCGUGCCAGCAGCCGCCGUAA
rnacentral:rRNA from 1 species